rnacentral:rRNA from 1 species
GAUGAACGCUGGCGGCGUGCCUAACACAUGCAAGUCGAACGGAAAGACGCUGUUUUUUUCUGGUUCUCGAGUGGGGAACGGGUGGGUAAGACGUGAGUAACCACCCCUUGUCUUUGGGAUAACUUCGUGAAGCAGGGUCUACUACCGCAUAGGAUUCUCUGAUGCGUGGUGGGGGUUGGAAAGUUUCGGUGGGUUGGGAUGGACGCGCGGGUUAUCAGCUUUAUGGGGAGGUAGUGGCGUACCCCGGCUCAGACGGGUAGACGGCCUGAGAGGGGGACCGGGGCCAUUGGGACUGAGGUACGGACCAGAGUGGUACGUGGGACAGAGGUGGGGAAUAUUGUACAAUGAGCGCAAGCGUGAUGCAGCAACGCUGCGUUCGGGAUGACGGCCUUCUGGUGGUAAACCGCUUUCGCCUGUGACGAAGCGUGGGUGACGGUAAUGGGUAAAGAAGCACCGGCUAACUACGUG